GUGCCAUGCUGUGAGGAAGACAGGCAAGCGCUCUCCCAGACCAGCACCAACAUCAGAAUGACUUACACUUGUCUCAGGUGAGGAAGCCGCGGAGGCCUGGCUUACUGGACACAGCCUUACAAAUUCUCUUUGGACGUGGAUUCUUGUGAGGUCCUCAACCUGGUGACCUCCGAUGGUGAGCCGUUCAUGACGGCUCUAUGGCAACACAGCCUUCAAAUCUCAAGUUUUAUUUUUCUCCUGUGUCACAUGGAGCUUGCGGGCUUGGGACUGGAGACACUGCUUAUUGCAGAAAAGGAGCUCUGGGAGGAUAAAGCGCUCUGACUUCCUUUAGUCACCGGGCCCCACCCAGCGCGGGGCCAGACAGCAGGGAGCCCGGACUCGCUGGUGACCACGAGGGGUUGCUUGCUUCUCAUGGCCUGGUGAGGGGCACUCUCAGCUGUGUCCACUCUGUCCCAGAUGUCCUUUCCAGAUGUCCAGCGACUGGGCCCCUGGCUCGGGAACUGCCCUCUUUCACCGGAUGACGCCCACAGAGAACGUCACAGUGGGGUCUGCAGCUGGAGGCUGCAGCCUCGAGACGAGCCUGGGCCUCUGCAGAGCCGAGAGGGCAGGAGCGGGGUUGGCGGUGGCUUCCCCUCAGCUCAACCCAGCCUUGGAAGAUCAGGUGAGGGUCGGUCUGGCCCGCGGUGAACAGCAGCACCUUUAACCCUUGACUUCGCGCACGAAGAUGCGAUUGAUCAUUUCCAGGUCCCCUUCUGAGAAUCGGAAACCUAGGUUCAGUUUAAGCGCGGUGGAGAGAGUGAGUCCUUCCACGGCGAGUGCCACGCUACUCUCAGAGAACAGUCUGCCUAGCUGUCCCUCUUCAGAUGCCAAGUUCGGGUUCAGACAUCUCAUCUUUGCAUCCAACUAUGCCGCUGGAGAAUGUAACUCCGCCUGCAGAGUUGGCCAGGUGGGAGGCAGCUUCCACCGAAGUCUUCCUGGAGGAGCAGGGAUUCCCAGAGUCCUUGUCACGCACCGACCCAUUGGGUUGGAGCCAUCUUCUCUGUACGUGGCUUCUCCUUGUCCUGUUUCGUCCAGACUCAGGUGUCCCCUCUUCAGGACUGUCUUUCGUCUCCCAGCUGAACUAACUCCUUUCCCAUUUGCUUCUCGCUGUCUUUAAGUACCUGGUUUAUUCCUCUGGAGACUUCUUCCCAUCAGAUCAAAGCUCCACAAGGCCCAGGGCCCUCCUCUGUCCUGGUCAACACGCCAGCGCAGCGUGUCGUACAUACUAAAUUUUCCAUCAGUAUAUUGAAUGCGUGCAAGAGUGGGUGAAGUCACUCACACAUCCUAUCUCCGUGUAGGAUGGGACCUUGGUUCUUUCACUGACAGGUCACUCAUUAUCCCUCAUUUAGGUGCUUCUCAUUCGGGGCUGACAACACUCUUGAGGAAAACAAAACCUUCAGCGGGGAUUGCUGGGCCUGGGAACACGAAUCCUGCAGCCUCCAGCACCUUCUGUAGGGCUGACUGAAGUGUCCUUACUGUCUCCUCCCUGGAUGGGUCCCCAAGCAGACUGUGAGCUUCUCACGGCCUUGAUUUGCUGUCUCACUUCCCUGGCAGCCUGGGUCACUCAGAAAAUACCUGUAGCUCAUCCAGCUGUGAUUGUCUUAAAACUCAUAACCAUCCAAAAAUAAUAAUUAAAAAACCCUCAUAACCUUCUAGACCUAGAUAGAGUCAAGCAGCUCUCUGACCGUCAGCAUUUACCUGUGCCAAACUUGCAGUGAUACAGUGGACAGGAAUUAGAUCUCGGAGUCAGUUGGUUUGGCCUUGAGUUCUGGCCUGUUACUGUGACUUCAAGAAGGUCACCCAACUUAUUCAAGACUCGGUUUCCUCAUCCAUAAGUGGGCGUAAUAAUAGCACUUCACUUGUGUGGGUUCUGAUAGAGGAAGGUGUCCUGGGCAGGCCUGGGCACUGAAGAGACAGAGAGAAUGACUUUCACUGUGUUGUCCUACUACACGUGCUUUUCUUUCUGUUCCUUCCUUCCUCUCUCUUCCUUGUUCUUUUUUUCUGCCUGCCUUCCCUCUCUUUCCCUCCCUCUCCCCCUCCUCCCCACCACCAUACUUGGAGCAGUAUGCGGUGGUGCGUGCCUGCAAUCUCCGCACUCUAGGAGGUUCAAGUCCAGCUUGGGUAGCUGAGGAAGAUCCUGCCUCCAAAUAAAAAAUAAAAGAAGUCUGCCGUAAUAGCAGUACUCACUCUGGGAAAU
ensembl:lincRNA